rnacentral:tRNA from 1 species
GCCUGGGUGGCUCAGUCAGUUGAGUGUCUGACUUUGGCUCAGGUCAUGGUCUCACAGUUUGUGAGUUCGAGCCCCGCAUCGGGCU